CCUACGGGAGGCAGCAGUGAGGAAUAUUGGUCAAUGGUCGCGAGCCUGAACCAGCCAAGUAGCGUGAAGGAUGACUGCCCUGCGGGUUGUAAACUUCUUUUAUAAAGGAAUAAAGUCAGACACGUGUGCCUUUUUGUAUGUACUUUAUGAAUAAGGAUCGGCUAACUCCGUGCCCGCCGCCGCGGUAAUACGGAGGCUCCGAUCGUUAUCCGGUUUUAUUGGGUUUAAAGGGAGCGUAGACGGGUUGUUAAGUCAGUUGUGAAAGUUUGCGGCUCAACCGUAAAAUUGCAAUUGAUACUGGCAGCCUCGAGUACAGUUGAGGUAGGCGGAAUUCGUGGUGUAGCGGUGAAAUGCUUAGAUAUCACGAAGAACUCCGAUUGCGAAGGCAGCAUACUAAACUGCCACUGACAUUGAUGCUCGAAAGUGUGGGUAUCAAACAGGAUUAGAUACCCUUGUAGUC
rnacentral:rRNA from 1 species